AUUGAUUGAAAAUUCUAUCAUUUCCUUGAUUAUCUGCAAUGAACCUCAGAUAUGUAUUGAAUCACCCUGUUUGUGUCUAAAAAUACAAUUAAAUGCAAAUGACAAAUUAAAACGGGAAGAUUCUGCAACAUCUAUGAUAGAUAAAAACAGGCAGUCCAUCCCCUUCAAGUGUCUUCCCAGAUCAUGGAAGUGCCAGGGUGUGAGUCACAAGUCCCCCCAUCCCCUUCCCCCCAGUCUCCUUCUGCUGCUGCCACGCCUGCCUCCACAUUUGUGGUCCAUCUUCAACUCUUGUCAGGCAACUCCAUGGAUCUCUGCAGUCCUUUCCAACGUGCAGCAGCUACCUGCCACCA